rnacentral:rRNA from 1 species
GACGUAGGUGGCAAGCGUUGUUCGGAAUUACUGGGCGUAAAGGGCGCGUAGGCGGCCUGCUAAGUCGAACGUGAAAUCCCUGGGCUCAACCCAGGAACUGCGUUCGAUACUGGUUGGCUUGAAUUCGGGAGAGGGAUGCGGAAUUCCAGGUGUAGCGGUGAAAUGCGCAGAUAUCGGGAGGAACAUCAGUGGCGAAGGCGGCUACCUGGCCCAAUACUGACACUCAGGUGCGACAGCGUGGGGAGCAAACAGG